rnacentral:rRNA from 1 species
UAGGGAAUCUUCGGCAAUGGACGAAAGUCUGACCGAGCAACGCCGCGUGAGUGAAGAAGGUUUUCGGAUCGUAAAACUCUGUUGGUAGAGAAGAACGUUGGUGAGAGUGGAAAGACUCAUCAAGUGACGGUAACUACCCAGAAAGGGACGGCUAACUAACGUGCCAG